GUCCAGUCCGGUCCAACUGUCCAGUCCGGUCCAACUGUCCAGUCUGGUCCAACUGUCCAGUCCAGUCCAACUGUCCAGUCCAGUCAUAGCCAGUCCAGUCCAUGUUUAUUGCCAAAUGCUUCUAAAGCAGCGGCUACACAUAUUUAUGUUUAUUCAGGCCAAAAAAAAAAUGUGGGUUUCCGGUUUCCCGACCCUACAGUACCUAGCUUUUGGACGUCGAAAUCCCAACCCUAAACUUUUUUAUUGGAUCAUGCUUGUAAGUGUUUCCACUUAGAGGAAAAAGUUUGUGGAAAAUUGAAAUUUGAGGCAAUAUUAGGCAAAUUUAUCUUUGGAUGUGGAAGCACUGACUAAACAAAAUGGCGUCCGGUUGUUCGGAAAAUUAAAAAAAAAGUUUAAAAAAAAAGUUAAAACCGACCUACCCUACCUAAGUUUUUAUAAGAAGAAACCGGAAACCCACAUAUUUUUUUUGCCUCAAUCUUCCUAACUUGUAAAAUCAUUUCCAUCGCUUUUCCUUGAAGAAUUAGAACAACUUAAGGCCAAUGAAAAUUGAUAUCAUGUUUCUCGUCCACAAUUUUCAAAAAUUUG